AUUGUUAAGAAAGACCGUUGCUGAGCACGCGCCCUGCUGCCCACGCGUCCUGUGAGCAGAGCUGAGGAAGAAGCGGUGGUGUGGGCGGUGUCGUGAUCUUUCUGGCUGCCUGCCCUCAACCGGGUGAAAAAUGAGUGGGCGUGUGAGAACAAGGUCUAAAUCUAAACAAAGAAAGGAUGAUGGCAAGGCUAACCAGCCAGCUGCACCUGUGGCUGCCCAGCAGCCCAGUGAUGAGCAGCCUCAACAAAGGGAGGCACCCACUGAGUGUCAGGAUAUUAUGCCGGAGCGAGAGAAAGCAGUUGAAGAAGCACCUCUGGAUGAAGGUGAAGGGAAAGGGAAAAAG